GAACGCUGGCGGCGUGCCUAAUACAUGCAAGUCGAACGAGUUCUGAUUAUUGAAAGGUGCUUGCAUCUUGAUUUUAAUUUUGAACGAGUGGCGGACGGGUGAGUAACACGUGGGUAACCUGCCCUUAAGUGGGGGAUAACAUUUGGAAACAGAUGCUAAUACCGCAUAAAUCCAAGAACCGCAUGGUUCUUGGCUGAAAGAUGGCGUAAGCUAUCGCUUUUGGAUGGACCCGCGGCGUAUUAGCUAGUUGGUGAGGUAACGGCUCACCAAGGCAAUGAUACGUAGCCGAACUGAGAGGUUGAUCGGCCACAUUGGGACUGAGACACGGCCCAAACUCCUACGGGAGGCAGCAGUAGGGAAUCUUCCACAAUGGACGCAAGUCUGAUGGAGCAACGCCGCGUGAGUGAAGAAGGCUUUCGGGUCGUAAAACUCUGUUGUUGGAGAAGAAUGGUCGGCAGAGUAACUGUUGUCGGCGUGACGGUAUCCAACCAGAAAGCCACGGCUAACUACGUGCCAGCAGCCGCGGUAAUACGUAGGUGGCAAGCGUUAUCCGGAUUUAUUGGGCGUAAAGCGAGCGCAGGCGGUUUUUUAAGUCUGAUGUGAAAGCCCUCGGCUUAACCGAGGAAGUGCAUCGGAAACUGGGAAACUUGAGUGCAGAAGAGGACAGUGGAACUCCAUGUGUAGCGGUGAAAUGCGUAGAUAUAUGGAAGAACACCAGUGGCGAAGGCGGCUGUCUGGUCUGUAACUGACGCUGAGGCUCGAAAGCAUGGGUAGCGAACAGGAUUAGAUACCCUGGUAGUCCAUGCCGUAAACGAUGAAUGCUUGGUGUUGGAGGGUUUCCGCCCUUCAGUGCCGCAGCUAACGCAUUAAGCAUUCCGCCUGGGGAGUACGACCGCAAGGUUGAAACUCAAAGGAAUUGACGGGGGCCCGCACAAGCGGUGGAGCAUGUGGUUUAAUUCGAAGCAACGCGAAGAACCUUACCAGGUCUUGACAUCUUUUGAUCACCUGAGAGAUCAGGUUUCCCCUUCGGGGGCAAAAUGACAGGUGGUGCAUGGUUGUCGUCAGCUCGUGUCGUGAGAUGUUGGGUUAAGUCCCGCAACGAGCGCAACCCUUAUGACUAGUUGCCAGCAUUUAGUUGGGCACUCUAGUAAGACUGCCGGUGACAAACCGGAGGAAGGUGGGGAUGACGUCAAAUCAUCAUGCCCCUUAUGACCUGGGCUACACACGUGCUACAAUGGAUGGUACAACGAGUUGCGAGACCGCGAGGUCAAGCUAAUCUCUUAAAGCCAUUCUCAGUUCGGACUGUAGGCUGCAACUCGCCUACACGAAGUCGGAAUCGCUAGUAAUCGCGGAUCAGCACGCCGCGGUGAAUACGUUCCCGGGCCUUGUACACACCGCCCGUCACACCAUGAGAGUUUGUAACACCCGAAGCCGGUGGCGUAACCCUUUUAGGGAGCGAGCCGUCUAAGGUGGGACAAAUGAUUAGGGUGAAGU
rnacentral:rRNA from 1 species